rnacentral:rRNA from 1 species
GACGAACGCUGGCGGCGUGCUUAACACAUGCAAGUCGAACGGAAAGGCCCUGCUUUUGUGGGGUGCUCGAGUGGCGAACGGGUGAGUAACACGUGAGUAACCUGCCCUUGACUUUGGGAUAACUUCAGGAAACUGGGGCUAAUACCGGAUAGGAGCUCCUGCUGCAUGGUGGGGGUUGGAAAGUUUCGGCGGUUGGGGAUGGACUCGCGGCUUAUGAGCUUGUUGGUGGGGUAGUGGCUUACCAAGGCUUUGACGGGUAGCCGGCCUGAGAGGUGGACCGGCCACAUUGGGACUGAGAUACGGCCCAGACUCCUACGGGAGGCAGCAGUGGGGAAUAUUGCACAAUGGGCGGAAGCCUGAUGCAGCAACGCCGCGUGCGGGAUGACGGCCUUCGGGUUGUAAACCGCUUUCGCCUGUGACGAAGCGUGAGUGACGGUAAUGGGUAAAGAAGCACCGGCUAACUACGUG